rnacentral:rRNA from 1 species
UACGGGGGGGGGCAAGCGUUGUUCGGAAUUACUGGGCGUAAAGGGCUCGUAGGUGGCCAACUAAGUCAGACGUGAAAUCCCUCAGCUUAACCGGGGGAACUGCGUCUGAUACUGGAUGGCUUGAGUUUGGGAGAGGGAUGCGGAAUUCCAGGUGUAGCGGUGAAAUGCGUAGAUAUCUGGAGGAACACCGAUGGCGAAGGCAGGUCUCUGGGCAUUAACUGACGCUGAGGAGCGAAAGCAUGGGGAGCGAACAGG